UAAAAUUUGCCUAUAAUAAGACUGUAUAACAGUAUCAAAGUUUUCAAGAUUAUCAUAUUCAUAGGUACUUGAUAAUUUUCUAGUUGUUUAACAAUUUUUUUGUAUUCUAAGAAAAAGGGCUUGAUUGAUUGUUUGAAACAAUCAAUAAUAUAUCAAGAAUGUACUGCAUAUGAUCAUAAAUCCCAGUAAUGAUUGCAACAACAUCUACACAAAGAAUGAAACAACCAGCCCAAUUUAACAAAUCAAGACUAAAAAAAUGAAACAUAAACUCAAACAAAUAAAAUACCAUUGGGUGUUACAUACCAACCAAAUAAUCCACAUCAUAACCUCAGAACAUGAAUCUUCGAUUGAAUAAUCAACUUGUAACCAUGAGAUGUAGCUCUACGCGCACCAGAGUUAGGAGCUACAAAAAAGUAUGACAUCUUGUACACCUCGCUCUCACUGAAUUUAUGAUGUAAGACAUACAGAAUGUUGCUUCGUCACAAUCGCAUAUAUAGUGCAGCCCUUUCAAAUUCAAAUACAAACACAAAAAUUAACCAUUAUCAAACGCAUUAGCCAUUCUCCAAAAAUUGAACAGGAUUGAUAAUAGGAUUGGGAUGAAAGAGAUGAAAGAAUAACAAAAGUUCUGCAGUGGAAGUGAUGAGCAUGUGGAACCUCAAAACGUAUUUAUAGCCAACUGCAAAGGUAAAAGCAGAAGAAACAGUACCAAUCAGAUCAAUCACAACCGCUCAUAAAAAAUAAUUCAAAUUUUACCCAAGUGACAAAUUAGUGUUAACAUUUAC
rnacentral:lncRNA from 1 species